UCUGAGCCAAGGCUCCAGACUNGUAGCAGCAGUGAGCARUAKGGAAUAAUCCGCRYARGCCGAAAGUAGGCMKGAGSAGCGYNYNRWGARUGMCUUAGGUUUUGUGGAUUGUAAAGAUCUGUGAUGAGGGAAGAACAAGUGCGAGAGUAACUGAUCKCACGUUGACGGUACAUGACCAGAAAGCCACGUCUAUGUAAGUACCAGCAGCCGUGGUAAUACGUAGGUGGCAAGCGUUGUCCGGAAUUAUUGGGCGUAAAGGGCUGGCAGGCGGUUUSUUAAGUCUGAUGUGAAAGCCCCCGGCUCAACCGGGGAGGGUCAUUGGAAACUGGGAAACUUGAGUGCAGAAGAGGAGAGUGGAAUUCCACGUGUAGCGGUGAAAUGCGUAGAGAUGUGGAGGAACACCAGUGGCGAAGGCGACUCUCUGGUCUGUAACUGACGCUGAGGAGCGAAAGCGUGGGGAGCGAACAGGAUUAGAUACCCUGGUAGUCCACGCCGUAAACGAUGAGUGCUAAGUGUUAGGGGGUUUCCGCCCCUUAGUGCUGCAGCUAACGCAUUAAGCACUCCGCCUGGGGAGUACGGUCGCAAGACUGAAACUCAAAGGAAUUGACGGGGGCCCGCACAAGCGGUGGAGCAUGUGGUUUAAUUCGAAGCAACGCGAAGAACCUUACCAGGUCUUGACAUCCUCUGACAACCCUAGAGAUAGGGCUUUCCCUUCGGGGACAGAGUGACAGGUGGUGCAUGGUGUCGUCAGCUCGUU
rnacentral:rRNA from 1 species